AAUCAACGCUGGCGGCGUGCCUAACACAUGCAAGUCGAACGAGAAAGUGGGGGCAACCCCGCGAGUAAAGUGGCAGACGGGUGAGUAACACGUGAGCAAUCUGCCCUCGAGUAGGGAAUAACCUCGCGAAAGCGGGGCUAAUACCGUAUGAGUUCCCCGGGUCGCAUGGCUUGGGGAUUAAAGGCUUCGGCCGCUCGAGGAGGAGCUCGCGCCUGAUUAGCUAGUUGGUGAGGUAACGGCCCACCAAGGCAACGAUCAGUAGCCGGCCUGAGAGGGCGCACGGCCACACUGGAACUGCGACACGGUCCAGACUCCUACGGGAGGCUG
rnacentral:rRNA from 1 species